rnacentral:lncRNA from 10 species
CAUGCCCGGCCAAGAAUCCAUAUUUCUUUACCAGACUAGGAAUUCUAUUCUAGUGCAAAUGCCUUAAAAAGCUUAUCACUAAAUCAUUACGAAUGUGUGCCAUCCGUGGAAUUGCUUUUUUUUUUUUUUUUUUGUAAAUAUGAGGUCUCACUAUGUUGCCCAGGCUGGUCUCGAAAUCCUGGGCAAUCCUCCUGCCUCACCCUCUCAAGUACUGGAAUUACAGGCGCGUGAGCCACCGCGCCCGGCCCAAGUAUCACUUAUGGUUUCAGAACGCCAUUAUUAGUGUCUGACUGUCUUGGUCUUCUUAUACAUUGAUUCCCAAAUCACGUGUGGUAACAGCAUCUCAAUUUUUCAUGAUGACGGUUUGAACCAUUAAUUUAAUUCCUCAGGCUAUCUACUUUUUUGUUAAACAUACUGUGUAGACCAUCUUUUUUUUUUCCCAUCAUGAUAGUCAAAAUUUUAGUCUGUGUAUUCAAGUGAGAAAAUUUUUAGUCAGCAUUAUACAAGUAGUAUUUAUUAUGUAUACAUUCAGUGGAGUUGUUUCUACAAAAGUAUUUCGGAAUGACUAUUCUGCUGCAAACUUUUGUGUAAGCGCUUCACCUUAUUCCUACAAUAAGGAGAAGUGCACUAACAAAAUGAACAAUGCAGCAAGGGCUUCAGUCGCAGCUCAGGUCUUAUCAAACACCAGAGAACCCUCAAUGGGAGAAGCCUUAUGAGUGUGACAACUGUGGAAAGACAGUUCCUUUUUUGUUAGUAUCACUUCUACUUAUUGUAGAAAUAUGCUUUCAUUAUUGCAUCUACUCACAUUUCUCACUCGGUUUCUGGCACCAGCAAUCUCUUCCAUAUUUAUAAUAUCAGUCAAAAACUCUGGAAUUCAAAUAUAACAAGACUUUUCUGGUCACCUUUGAUAGUUAAUGACUUGGGCAUUGUGAUAUAUUAUCUCCUGCUGUAUGUAUUUUGUUUAGUAGAAAUUGAAUCAUUAUCCACAAUCCUUUAUAGAACUAUCCAAGUCCCUGUUUUUAUGCUAGUUUCCAAGGCUUGGUCCUUCAAGGUUUUCAGGGAUCUAGGGGACACAAAUCUAACAAAUCCUAAUGUAUAUUAUUUGUAUUAUAGUAAU